AGUUGCCAUCAUUUAGUUGGGCACUCUAGCGAGACUGCCGGUAAUAAACCGGAGGAAGGUGGGGAUGACGUCAAAUCAUCAUGCCCCUUAUGACCUGGGCUACACACGUGCUACAAUGGCUGGUACAACGAGUCGCAAGCCGGUGACGGCAAGCUAAUCUCUUAAAGCCAGUCUCAGUUCGGAUUGUAGGCUGCAACUCGCCUACAUGAAGUCGGAAUCGCUAGUAAUCGCGGAUCAGCACGCCGCGGUGAAUACGUUCCCGGGCCUUGUACACACCGCCCGUCACACCACGAGAGUUUGUAACACCCGAAGUCGGUGAGGUAACCGUAAGGAGCCAGCCGCCUAAGGUGGGAUAGAUGAUUGGGGUGAAGUCGUAACAAGGUAGC
rnacentral:rRNA from 2 species